rnacentral:rRNA from 1 species
UACGUAGGUGGCAAGCGUUGUCCGGAUUUAUUGGGCGUAAAGGGCGCGCAGGUGGUGCGCUAAGGCUGCCGUGAAAUCUCCCCGGCUCAACUGGGAGGGUGCGGUGGCGACUGGCGUGCUUGAGGUACCUAGAGGUCGGUGGAAUUCCCGGUGUAGUGGUGAAAUGCGUAGAGAUCGGGAGGAACACCAGUGGCGAAGGCGGCCGGCUGGGGGUGACCUGACGCUGAGGCGCGAAAGCGUGGGGAGCGAACCGGACUUAGAUAUCC